UGGCUGGCUGGUUGGUUGGUUGAAGUUAAAGUUAAAGUUAGUUAAAAUGUAUAAACUGGGAAUAAAUGAACCAAAAUGACAAGAAAUGUGGGAUAGUGAGGGGAAAGGGAGACAUUUAUACCAUAUCCAAAGGAGUAUUAAGUAAAUAAGGUCGGAGGGGGAAACAGAGAAGAGGAAACGGUACUAACGAGACUGAGGCUGGGACACUGUGCUCUAAAUAAAACUUUAGAAAUGGUGGGGAGACAUCAGACGGUAUGUGUGAGGAGUGGCAGGAAGAGGAAUCGGUGGAACAUGUAACUCUACAUUAUAGGAAACAUCAGAGGGAUGAUGGAUAACAGACUAAAGGAACGAGGGGUGCAGAAGCCCCCUUUAAAAACAAUAUUAAGUAUGAAUGAUAGAGCACAGCUGCGGGAUGGACAUGUCCGUCAGGCUGGCGGUCUUGCAGCAGCUGGCUGAGAGCUGUGGUCUCAGUACAGUCCAGCAGGGCCUACAGCAGGUCUGGAGGCUGCUGCUGCUCUGCCUGAUCUGCAGACUCUGCUUCAGACUGGACGGUGUGUCCACUGUGAAGCACGUAGUGUCGGUGUUGGCUGGGAUGUACGGCCUCUUCCUGUUCUUUGAGCUGCACAUGUUGUGGGUGCUGUUGCUCAGCGCGCUCUGUUACCUGGUCCUGCUCCUCAGCCGACACUCCAGCAGCAGAGGCCUCUUCCUCUCCGUCGUCAUCCUCGUCUACCUCCUCAUUGGAGAGUUGCAUUUGAUUGACAUGGUGACCUGGAACAGAAUAAGAGGCUCUCAGAUGGUGGUGGCCAUGAAGGCCAUCUCUCUGGCCUUUGACCUGGACAGAGGAGCCGUGGGCAGCCUGCCCUCCCCAGCUGAGUUCCUGGGUUAUGUCCUCUUUGUGGGCACUGUGGUCUUCGGCCCUUGGAUCAGCUUCUCCACUUAUAAAAACGCCGUUGAAGGCAGAAAGCUGAGCUGGUUGUGGCUGCGUAGCUCCUCCCUCGGCCUCCUGAAGAGUCAGAUCUGUCUGCUGGUCUCCACCUGCAUCGCCCCUUACCUCUUCACUUUGUUCAUCCCCAUCCAUGGAAACACAGUCACACAGAAGUGGCUGCAUGCUUAUGAGAAUGCAGUGUCCUUCCACUUCAGUAACUACUUUGUGGGUCACCUGAGUGAAGGCACCAGCAUGCUGGCUGGAGCCGGCUGCACUGAGGAAAAAGACAACGUCAGAUGGGACAUGAGUGUGGUGAAGCCUCUCAGUGUGGAGAUGCCUCGCUCCAUGGUGCUGGUGGUGACGUCCUGGAACAUCCCCAUGUCCGAAUGGCUGAAAACCUACGUCUUUAAAAGCACCAUGAAACUGGGGACCUUUCCCGCCAUCCUGGUGACGUACACAGCCAGCGCCUUACUGCAUGGUCUGAGUUUUCACCUGGGAGCUGUUCUGCUCUCGCUGGGCUUCAUCACUUACAUUGAACAUGUUCUGAGAAAGAAGCUCGCCUCCAUCUUCAGUGCCUGCAUCCUGUCCAGACCCUGCGCCUCCGACUGCAGCCAUCAGCACAAGAAGGUACAGCGUCAUCUCGACACAAAGCAGCGCCGAGCGGUCGAAACAUAACGACAUGCAGUAAGAAAUCAACGGCAACCUGCGUAAAACUCUCUGCGGCUGUUAGUACUGCAGUUAUGGGGGGCAUGAAAAAACCCACCAUGGUACUCCGUGUCAGGAGGGGACAUUUUGAUCGCUGCCGAGGUACCGCGACUCCGUCGGGCCUGUCUAUGUUAGUGAAGUGAAUCAGUAAACUGGAGUCGCUGUGCGCUACAGCAAAGCUUUGGGCCACAUGUGGACAGGGGAGUGCUUCAGACACACUCCAGGACCCCGAAAAGAAACUGGAAAAAACAUUCAAAGCCGGCGGGGCGAAACUGCCGUCUGAGCAUUAGCGACGUUACAGUGUGAAAACAUACAAUCCACGGUUUUCUGAGGGUUAGCAUACACGGCCCCAGUUUUAUGAAAACACCAUCUUUCAGCGGUGAAGUAUCCCGUUAACACCACCAGCUUCCUGUGGCACUUUAAGGUUGUUUGCAUCCUUUACUCGACCCUCUUGUUUUCAUUUGCAUGGAGUAAUAAAGCGUCUUCUGUCCUGGAGUCUGUGUCGGGCAUCAUUCAGCUGCUUUGCAGAAACAUGAGCAUCAUGACGUGUCGUGCAGCGUUAAGGGGAACUUAACUGCAGGUUAAAGCUGUGCUUUGCUGCCCUCUCUGGUUCAAGGUGUCAGGCCUGUUUCACUGGGGUCAGAAAUGUGCUCUGUUGCAUCUGUAACCACACCCAGCAGUGAUGUCACAGGGUCCUGGAGUGCACCUGUACAUCACUGCAGCCAGGUGAGAAGGGAAGCCACUGGAGGUCACCAAAGACCAGGUUUUCAGGGGUGUUAAGUUUCACUUUAAGGGUUAAAAAUAUUUUCCCAGAUGUCUCACAGUUUAUUCUUUUGCCUUUGCUCCGUAGGAGUACUGGGUGAUGAUGCUGAACCUGGUUUUCAGCUUCCUGGCCAUCUUCCACCUCACCUACCUGGGCUCCAUGUUUGAUCCCGGAGUCGAUGAACAGGAAGUAGAAGAGGGUUACACGGCCGUGCACACCAUCCAGAGGUGGUCUGA